CUCUUCAAAGUUGAGGACCUGGGAAGGGGCUUCGAUCAUCUCACCGGCCGAAGACGAGGAGGAGGAGGAGGCGGCAGAGGCUGUAGACAUGAUCCCUCGCGGCGCCCGGUGGGGCCGGGAACGGUGCCACCCGGACAAUCCGGGUGAGACCCGCGCCCACCCGCCUCCGGACCGACCCUCAGCCUGGAGCCGCGCAGUCCUACUACCCGGCGAUCCGUGGCGGGGGUAGAGGCAGCGGCCACAGCCGUGUCCGGCUCUGGCUCCGCUGCGUUUUCCGCCGACGGGCCCCGCCCACUACACUUCCGGUUCCGGGCUGAAAUCGGAAACAGGAGGAGGGCCGUAAACUCCGGGGUAGGGGAGGGGAGAAUUUUGUGACUUGGAAAGAAAAGGAGGGACAGGUUGGGGGUGGGGUGGAGUAAGCUAAGAAGCAAACUUGGACCUCUAGAACAAAUUUCGCGAGACCUUUAUUACAGGGCCUCAGCAACCGGAUGAUACCGCGAGAGAGGACGCCUGACGUAAUUAAAGUGCGCGAACGGAAGUGGCGCGGAACAUGACGGAAAAUCAGUACGGUUGGUCCCUUAAGGACCAGCGGGAAAGAUAAAAGCUGGGGUUUAGUCUGUGCUGCGUGAAAUAUGUCUUGGCCUCACUUCCUGUCCUCUGAGCUGCCUGCAGCCGGGCGAGGUGGUGUUGAACUGUGUUUUUUGUGACGAAGCUUACUUUUAAGUUUCAUCCCUAAACUAAGUUGACCUGUUUCUUUAAGACGGCUUGCAAAAUGUGUUUUCCUCAAUGUGGGAUAUGGAAAGAAGCAGUUGCUCCUGUUAUUUUGAGCUAGUACCUGACGCUAUGAGAAAUUCUAAAAGAGCGAAUCAGAUCAUGCAACAUGAAUAACUAUGGAGGCUGAGUGAUCAAGAACAGAAGUUAAUAUUUUGGUGUUACAAACUUUCCACGGAUUAGGUGAAUAAGAUAUUUAUAAUUUGGUGUGUUCAUCUCAAGUUAUGGAUUACGAGUGCGGGGCACUAGUGCUUUAGAUUGGUAAAUGAAUCAUCAACAGUCGCCUUGAAAAUCGAAUAUUUUUGUCACCAUUUUCAGGACAUGAGAAAACACGCUGAGAGUUUAAAGCAAUUAUGGUCCUCACAAACUAGAUCAUUCUGUCCCCAAGAUGUGUACUCCUACUUCCAUAAAAAAACUAUAAAACAGCCUCAGGCAGGUCCUUCAGGAGGUAUUCCAGAAGAAGGCAUUGUUAUCAUAAGAGAUGACUGCUCCGUGCGUGUUAUUGCCCCUGAAGACUUUCUGGUGGGACAAGAUGUGGAGGUGGAAGAUAGUGAUGUUGAUGAUCCUGACCCUGUGUAGGUAGACCUAGGCCAACAUAUGUUUGUCUUACUUUUUAGCCAAAACGUUUAAAAACUAUAAAAAAAUAAAUAAACAGAAAAAAGUGUAUAGAAUAAGGAUCCAAAUAAAAUACUUUUGUACAGCU